GGCCUUGUAGCUCAAUGGAUAGAGCGACGGUUUACGAAGCCGUGUCAGUUGGAGGUUCGAAUCCUCCCGGGGCCGC
rnacentral:tRNA from 1 species